rnacentral:rRNA from 1 species
UACGAAGGGGGCUAGCGUUGUUCGGAAUUACUGGGCGUAGAGCACGUGUAGGCGGUUCGGUAAGUCGGGUGUGAAAGCCCGGAGCUCAACUCCGGAAUUGCAUUCGAAACUGCCGGGCUAGAGUCUCGGAGGGGAGGGCAGAAUUCCCAGUGUAGGGGUGAAAUCCGUAGAUAUUAGGAGGAAUACCAGCGGCGAAGGCGGCCCUCUGGACGAUGACUGACGCUCAGACGCGAAAGCGUGGGGAGCAAACAGG